UUACCAGUCAGGCUCUGGCUAUAUUCCAGGACUCAGCAGAUCCUGGAUAUAGUCAGAGGCUGACUGUACA
rfam:Cricetulus griseus cell line CHO-K1, whole genome shotgun sequence.